GUGGGGAAUCUUGCGCAAUGGGCGAAAGCCUGACGCAGCCAUGCCGCGUGAAUGAUGAAGGUCUUAGGAUUGUAAAAUUCUUUCACCGGGGACGAUAAUGACGGUACCCGGAGAAGAAGCUCCGGCUAACUUCGUGCCAGCAGCCGCGGUAAUACGAAGGGGGCUAGCGUUGCUCGGAAUUACUGGGCGUAAAGGGCGCGUAGGCGGACAGCUUAGUCAGAGGUGAAAGCACAGGGCUCAACCUUGGAAUUGCCUUUGAUACUGACUGUCUUGAGUUUGGGAGAGGUGAGUGGAACUCCGAGUGUAGAGGUGAAAUUCGUAGAUAUUCGGAAGAACACCAGUGGCGAAGGCGACUCACUGGCCCAAUACUGACGCUGAGGCGCGAAAGCGUGGGGAGCAAACAGGAUUAGAAACCCCAGUAGUCC
rnacentral:rRNA from 1 species